UACGGAGGGGGCUAGCGUUGUUCGGAAUUACUGGGCGUAAAGCGCGCGUAGGCGGAUCUGCAAGUCGGGGGUGAAAUCCCGAGGCUCAACCUCGGAACUGCCUUCGAUACUGCGGGUCUCGAGUCCGGGAGAGGUGAGUGGAAUUCUCGGUGUAGCGGUGAAAUGCGUAGAUAUCGAGAGGAACACCUGCGGCGAAGGCGGGUUGCUGGGCUGAUACUGACGCUGAUGCGCGAAAGCCAGGGGAGCGAACGGG
rnacentral:rRNA from 1 species